CCGUACACAAAAGCGCAUGUGCUGUGAGCUCGAUGAGUAGGGCGGGACACGUGGUAUCCUGUCUGAAUAUGGGGGGACCAUCCUCCAAGGCUAAAUACUCCUGACUGACCGAUAGUGAACCAGUACCGUGAGGGAAAGGCGAAAAGAACCCCGGCGAGGGGAGUGAAAAAGAACCUGAAACCGUGUACGUACAAGCAGUGGGAGCACAGGUUUACCUGUGUGACUGCGUACCUUUUGUAUAAUGGGUCAGCGACUUAUAUUCUGUAGCAAGGUUAACCGUAUAGGGGAGCCGGAGGGAAACCGAGUCUUAAUUGGGCGUUAAGUUGCAGGGUAUAGACCCGAAACCCGGUGAUCUAGCCAUGGGCAGGUUGAAGGUUGGGUAACACUAACUGGAGGACCGAACCGACUAAUGUUGAAAAAUUAGCGGAU
rnacentral:rRNA from 1 species